rnacentral:rRNA from 1 species
AGUUGAUCAGUGCUCGAGGACACGCUGGCGGCGUGCCUAACACAUGCAAGUCGAGCGAGAAUCUUACGACGGAUUCCUUCGGGAUGAAGAUGUAAGAGGAAAGCGGCGGACGGGUGAGUAACGCGUGAGUAACCUGCCUAUCAGAGGGGGACAACAGUUGGAAACGACUGCUAAUACCGCAUAACAUAUUUUUAUGGCAUCAUAGAAAUAUCAAAGAUUUAUCGCUGAUAGAUGGACUCGCGUCCGAUUAGAUAGUUGGUAGGGUAACGGCCUACCAAGUCGACGAUCGGUAGCCGAACUGAGAGGUUGAUCGGCCACAUUGGGACUGAGACACGGCCCAGACUCCUACGGGAGGCAGCAGUGGGGGAUAUUGCGCAAUGGGGGCAACCCUGACGCAGCAACGCCGCGUGAAGGAUGAAGGUUUUCGGAUCGUAAACUUCUUUAAGUGUGGAAGAAAUUGACGGUACACACAGAAUAAGCCACGGCUAACUACGUG